rnacentral:rRNA from 1 species
AUUGAACGCUGGCGGCAGGCCUAACACAUGCAAGUCGAGCGGCAGCGGAAAGUAGCUUGCUACUUUGCCGGCGAGCGGCGGACGGGUGAGUAAUGUCUGGGAAACUGCCUGAUGGAGGGGGAUAACUACUGGAAACGGUAGCUAAUACCGCAUAACGUCGCAAGACCAAAGAGGGGGACCUUCGGGCCUCUUGCCAUCAGAUGUGCCCAGAUGGGAUUAGCUAGUAGGUGGGGUAACGGCUCACCUAGGCGACGAUCCCUAGCUGGUCUGAUAGGAUGACCAGCCACACUGGAACUGAGACACGGUCCAGACUCCUACGGGAGGCAGCAGUGGGGAAUAUUGCACAAUGGGCGCAAGCCUGAUGCAGCCAUGCCGCGUGUAUGAAGAAGGCCUUCGGGUUGUAAAGUACUUUCAGCGGGGAGGAAGGCGUUGAGGUUAAUAACCUCAGCGAUUGACGUUACCCGCAGAAGAAGCACCGGCUAACUCCGUGCCAGCAGCCGUGGUAAUAC